rnacentral:pre_miRNA from 14 species
AAAUAAAGAGAGCUAUCCGUCGACAGUAUAUAUUUUACACUGUCAUGGAGUUGCUCUCUUUAUGGAC